rnacentral:pre_miRNA from 1 species
CAAAGCCACCAACCAUCCUGGUUUGCCCAGGACUGAGGGAUUCUGCAGGACUCAGGACUCUUAGUACUAAAGUUGGGACAGUCCUGGGCAAACUGGGAUGGUUGGUCACCCUGGACUAAG